CACUAGCACAUAUGUCAAAUUCCUAAUUAACGUUAUAUUUAUUAUCCGUCGUUUCUUAGAGCCGUAAUUGUGCUGAUAUCAAACUCCAGGGAAGGACACACAGCAAGCGAUUGCUGGGCCCACCUCGCGCCCCUGGCAUCUUUCUCCGCCACGGGCGUGUCCGGGCCUUCUUCCCAUACCC
rnacentral:snoRNA from 1 species